AUCAUUAAGCCAGGGAGUGCUUGGAGAUUAAGGAGGAAGCAGCCUGCAUAAAGUGGCAGAGAAUGGAGAGAAAAAUGUGGGUUAUGAAGAGCGAGUUAUGAAGAGAGAACAAUAUCUGUGAGAUUGCCUGUUGUGACCUGGACUGUCAGAUUACCCCCUUUGUGUACUGGAUUGGCUGAGGACCUGAGUUUUAGGGUUACCAAUGAAGAAUGGAACGAACAACGAGAACAGGUUCUGGACUGAAGUAAUUGAGCGUGCCAUUCACAGGCUGUAUCCAGGGAGCUCUGCAUGAGGGGAAGACCAUCACUGUGACAGGGAGAAUCCUACCAGGGUCCCAGAGGUUUCAUUGCGAAUAGGCUGUAGGCUCAAAAGAAGUACCUGACGUAGCCCUCAACUUCAACCCCCAAUCUGAUGAUUCCAGACAACAUGUGGCCUGCAACACCAUGCUGCGCUCGAAGUGGGGCCCAGAGGAGCGUAAAUAUUAAAUACCCAUGAGGAACGAUUUACCCUCCUGUUCCUGGUCAACCGAGAUACAUAUUCGGUGAUUGUGAAUGGUGCCCACUUCAUGGAGUACCUGCACCGGAUGUCAAUCACCCAAGUGGACACCAUCUUCGUGUAUGGGGAUGUGGAGAUCGAAUCCAUUGCCUUCUCCAACUCUGCAGGACUCCUGAAACAACCAGAAAACCAGGCACUGUGAUAAUGUGACAGUGGAUGUAAAGAAUCUAGGUAGCUAAAGCAUUUACUGCAAAUUGAAUGUACAAUUUUGGAAGCUUACCUUGCUGAUAUUUGCCAUGCAAUACAGAUAUAUGAAGUAACGUAGUUAUGUUCUUGCUUAUUGUGCAGUGGAGGAUGAAAAUACCUGUAUGGCUGUGUAGCUAGUUAUUUAGCUGAUCUGUGUAUGGACCCAAACAAUUGGUAUACAUAUUAGUUCAGAACCUAACUAUAAACCUCAGCUGUCAUAGCAAGUUGUCAUUCAGACGGUUUUGAAGUUGAUAUUUUAAUGAAGCCUGUGGAUUGAGUAGAAUAUAACUUUGUGCCAAGGAUGCAAGUUGUAUACACGUAGUUAUUACCAUGCAUGAGAUCAAUCCCCACACUGUAGCCUGUACAUUUAAUAUAUUCACCGAUCAUGUAUUCUACCUUGGUAAAUA